rnacentral:rRNA from 1 species
AGCAGCCGCGGUAAUUCCAGCUCCAAUAGCGUAUAUUAAAGUUGUUGCAGUUAAAAAGCUCGUAGUUGAAUUUCGGGAUCAAUAUAUCGGUCGUGCCUUGGUACGUACUGGUAUCAUUGGUUUCUCCUUUCUGACGAACCAUGAUGUCAUUAAUUUGGUGUUAUGGGAAGUUAGGACUGUUACUUUGAAAAAAUUAGAGUGUUUAAAGCAGGCUUUGGCUUGAAUACAUUAGCAUGGAAUAAUGAAAUAGGACGUUCGAACCUAUUUUGUUGGUUUCUAGGAUCAACGUAAUGAUUAAUAGGGAUAGUUGGGGGCAUUAGUAUUCAAUUGUCAGAGGUGAAAUUCUUGGAUUUAUUGAAGACUAACUACUGCGAAAGCAUUUGCCAAGGAUGUUUUCAUUAAUCAAGAACGAAAGUUAGGGGAUCGAAGACGAUCAGAUACCGUCGUAGUCUUAACCAUAAACUAUGCCGACUAGGGAUCGGAUGAUGUUAAUUUUUAAUUGACUCAUUCGGCGCCUUAC